rnacentral:rRNA from 1 species
GUAGGGAAUAUUGGACAAUGGUUGCAAGACUGAUCCAGCCAUGCCGCGUGCAGGAAGAAGGCCUUCUGGGUUGUAAACUGCUUUUGCCAGGGGAUAAAAAGUCCCUGCGGGGAAAAUUGAAGGUACCUGGUGAAUAAGCCACGGCUAACUACGUGCCAGCAGCCGCGGUAAUACGUAGGUGGCAAGCGUUGUCCGGAUUUAUUGGGUUUAAAGGGUGCGUAGGCGGUGACCUAAGUCAGUUGUGAAAUACGGCAGCUUAACUGUCGAGGUGCAAUUGAUACUGGGAUACUUGAGUACUGAUGAGGUAUGCGGAAUGGACGGUGUAGCAGUGAAAUGCUUAGAUAUCGUCCAGAACACCGAUAGCGAAGGCAGCAUACUAAGGAGUAACUGACGCUGAGGCACGAAAGUGUGGGGAUCAAA